rnacentral:lncRNA from 1 species
AUGAACUGGAUUUUUCGGCGGCCCACCCUUCACUGGACAGUGGAUUUGUGGAGGAAGGGACCCCACGGGAGGCACACGUCUGGAAAGAAGAAAGGGACCUUAGCAGGUGUGAUCUUGACUUUUGGCAAUGAAUCCCCGACCUUUUGAAAAAUCUCAUUGUAUCUUGACACAACGUUCUCCAUCUGCUUAUGAAGGAGCUAUUGACAAUAUGUAAAUCACAAUUGUAUGAGUGAAGACUUUUGGGUGGCUUACAAGCUUCAGAACCCAACUUGAGCUCCAGGAAAAUAGAGGAGUUGCGCUGAUUCCCAUCAACCAAACUGAGGGAAGAAAAAAUGUCCUGCAUAGGACCAGGGAUAAAUGGAUUGAGGACUCCAGUGUCACCAGAUCCUGUUCUCCAUCUCUCAUUCCUAGUUCUUUUUCCA